UACGUAGGGGGCAAGCGUUGUCCGGAAUCAUUGGGCGUAAAGAGCGCGUAGGCGGCCCAGUAAGUCCGCUCUGAAAGUCAGGGGCUCAACCCCUGAAUGCGGGUGGAUACUGCUGGGCUAGAGUCCGGAAGAGGCGAGUGGAAUUCCUGGUGUAGCGGUGAAAUGCGCAGAUAUCAGGAGGAACACCGAUGGCGAAGGCAGCUCGCUGGGACGGUACUGACGCUGAGACGCGAAAGCGUGGGAGCAAACAGG
rnacentral:rRNA from 1 species